GAUGCUAAUACCGGAUAACAACACUAGACGCAUGUCUAGAGUUUGAAAGAUGGUUCUGCUAUCACUCUUGGAUGGACCUGCGGUGCAUUAGCUAGUUGGUAAGGUAACGGCUUACCAAGGCAAUGAUGCAUAGCCGAGUUGAGAGACUGAUCGGCCACAUUGGGACUGAGACACGGCCCAAACUCCUACGGGAGGCAGCAGUAGGGAAUCUUCCAUAAUGGACGAAAGUCUGAUGGAGCAACGCCGCGUGAGUGAAGAAGGGUUUCGGCUCGUAAAGCUCUGUUGGUAGUGAAGAAAGAUAGAGGUAGUAACUGGCCUUUAUUUGACGGUAAUUACUUAGAAAGUCACGGCUAACUACGUGCCAGCAGCCGCGGUAAUACGUAGGUGGCAAGCGUUGUCCGGAUUUAUUGGGCGUAAAGCGAGUGCAGGCGGUUCAAUAAGUCUGAUGUGAAAGCCUUCGGCUCAACCGGAGAAUUGCAUCAGAAACUGUUGAACUUGAGUGCAGAAGAGGAGAGUGGAACUCCAUGUGUAGCGGUGGAAUGCGUAGAUAUAUGGAAGAACACCAGUGGCGAAGGCGGCUCUCUGGUCUGCAACUGACGCUGAGGCUCGAAAGCAUGGGUAGCGAACAGGAUUAGAUACCCUGGUAGUCCAUGCCGUAAACGA
rnacentral:rRNA from 1 species